UGAUCCUGGCUCAGAACGAACGCUGGCGGCAGGCCUAACACAUGCAAGUCGAACGAGAACCCGGAGCUUGCUCCGGUGGACAGUGGCAGACGGGUGAGUAACGCGUGGCAACCUACCAUUUUCUACGGAACAACAGUUGGAAACGACUGCUAAUACCGUAUACGCCCUCCGGGGGAAAGAUUUAUCGGUGAAUGAUGGGGCCGCGUUAGAUUAGCUAGUUGGCGAGGUAAUGGCUCACCAAGGCGACGAUCUAUAGCUGGUCUGAGAGGAUGAUCAGCCACACUGGGACUGAGACACGGCCCAGACUCCUACGGGAGGCAGCAGUGGGGAAUAUUGGACAAUGGAGGCAACUCUGAUCCAGCCAUGCCGCGUGAAUGAUGAAGGCCUUAGGGCUGUAAAAUUCUUUCGCUAGGGAAGAUAAUGACGGUACCUAGUAAAGAAGCCCCGGCUAACUCCGUGCCAGCAGCCGCGGUAAUACGGAGGGGGCUAGCGUUGUUCGGAAUUACUGGGCGUAAAGCGUGCGUAGGCGGAUUGGAAAGUUAGAGGUGAAAUCCCAGGGCUCAACCCUGGAACUGCCUUUAAAACUCCCAGUCUAGAGUUCUGGAGAGGUAAGUGGAAUUCCUAGUGUAGAGGUGGAAUUCGUAGAUAUUAGGAGGAACACCAGAGGCGAAGGCGGCUUACUGGACAGAUACUGACGCUGAGGCACGAAAGUGUGGGGAGCAAACAGGAUUAGAUACCCUGGUAGU
rnacentral:rRNA from 1 species